UUUAAAUGUUAAGAAUUUAAUUAUAAAUUAUUAUAAAUCUAUUUAAUGCACUGUUAAAAUGAUAUAAUGUUAUAAAUAUUAUCAAUAUUUGUCAAGUAUAAAUAUUGGAUCACCCCAUAAGUAAUGCCGUUGUAACGUACGGUAUUUGGUAGCGAGCACGUCACACAAUUGAAUGAGAAGCGUCCAAGCUUUAUCUUUAUUUUUAAUGUGGAUCCGACCUUUAUUGGUGUAAAGAGGGGAUAGUGUCAAAGAAAGAGAGAAAUGUAUUGAAUCUGAUGAAUAAUAAUACGCUUAUUUAUGAUACUAAAAGAAAGAAAGGAGAAAUAUAAUAGUUGAUACUCACAACUCAUUCUAGAUGCCUGUUUGUUCUUCGUUACUGUGCUAUAUACUCACACUCGUUUGAGUGUUUCUGCUCUCAGUCUCGUAGUACCGUUGUCCCAGCCUUACAACAAGUUAUGUUACAAAAGAUUGUCAUUGUUUCAAUCUGCGAAGUAGAUUUACGCACUUGGGCAACGCUGGACAUCUACCGGACAAAGCUGUACACUAUCCCACAGAUUUAAGCCUAUCGCCUUUUUACGGAUAUCUGCCGUACACGUGCCAGACUUACUCAAAACGUGUACAAAUCGGGGCAAGAGACUUGUGAAUUCGCGGUACCGACUAUUCAUCUCAAGUUCUACUUUUUAAAAUUGGGGUUCCUCUGCAAAAACGUUAUAGCGCUCGUGGUCGCUGAGUCUGCUCAUUCUUGGACGGUGCGGCGCUCCGAGUUGGAACGAUAUAUGAUCAUCGCAUCCCGUCUGUCCACCACGUCACUCGAAGCACACGUGCAAGAAUGCGCUUACUCCCAUUUAUAGGAACCUCUGAAAUCGUAAAGGUGUGGCUGCAAUUAUUAUCAUUCCAUACUAAGUCGGAGGGUGUCAUCAAAAUAUAUAGACGGGAUGUAACAUCAUUUUUAUGAGAGAUAAAUUUAAAAUAAUGGAUGUUACUAUCAAAGUUUUACAAAAAUUGGAAAGAAUAUUUAAUAAAUAAAGCAUAAGAAAACCGACAACUGUAUCAUUACUUAUGGGAUAUCCUAAUACAUAAUAAAAUACUGUUCGUUCGAGUAAAAGUGGAGCUAUUAGAAAUCGUUAGAACCAGAAAAUGACACAGACGGACCUACAAGAAACUUUUAGCUGACGACCGACUUAAUACGAGACCUGUAGGAUUUCAAUCAACUAGAUCAAUGAGGGGUAGUAGAAGGAAGCGUUUAGA